AUCCUCUUGCUCUUCUUCAGCCCCAAACCUGUCAAACGUAAAUUAAUGGCAUACUGACAAUGAGGUAGAAAUUAGGAAUGACUCCCUUGAAGAGCAAAUUGAAAUGGAGCUGCACCUGAAAGAAAAAGUGAUAGCUCAGUUCAAGAGGACAGAACGUGUUGUGCACUGAAUUUUAUUAAAAUACCUUCAUAAUUAGUCUCUCCACACUUCAAACUCAAGACAAGCAUGAAGUAAUAAUGAAAAAGAAAAGAAGUGCUCGGGUCAGUGAUGCUUAGACAGACAGUGGAGCACUCGGAGGCUUCGUCGCAGUGUGCAGCGUUCAUUCCUGACGCGUCUGUCUACAUCUGAACCCACCUCAGGACCGGACAAGCGGGACUAUAGAACU